rnacentral:lncRNA from 1 species
AAAAACAUAAACAAAUUUUAUAAGGUUUCAAAAUAUUUUUAUUUUAAAUUUAAAAAAUAUACAAAAAAACAAGUUUUUUUAGUAAAUAAAAAUAACAAAUAUAUAGAAAAAAGAAAAAAAAUAUAUCAAAAAAAAAUUGAAAAUAAUAAAAUUAUAUUCCGAAAAUGAAAAAAUAAUUUGAAAAUAAAAAAAAUCUUAAAAAAUAAAAAUAACUAGAAAAAAUUUAUCUAAAAA